GGUAUGUUUUGUAGGAGUUAUGAGUCAAGGCUGACAAUGUUUUUUAACUUGUAAACAUGUUUUAAUUUGUUUUAAUCACAGGUAUUUUAAGUCACCUGUUGUCCAGACCUCGUCAGCUGAAUAGCCUGUUGUGCUAAAGGUCCACCACAGAGAAGGCAGUGGUUAACGCUGAAUGGGCCUAAACAUCCGAUCCAUAAGCGAGGUGGAGUCAGAGCUGGGUUGACUACUUACUGCAUUGUGUGAGAAUUGUUACAGGUGGAUGGGCCCCUGUGGAUUGUGGGAACCCCUUUCCCCUUCAAUGCAUGUGGUGCAUCUCUGGCAGUAUUGGCAUCCACAUCUUUAUUUGUCUUUAUUGUUAUGCUUGUGCAGCGAAUAAAAUUGCCCAAAGCCUGAUCCUUUUUUAAUUGUUUAAAUAAAUCUUCCUUCUGGUCGAAACUCA